rnacentral:rRNA from 2 species
CUAAACGACUCUCGGCAACGGAUAUCUCGGCUCUCGCAUCGAUGAAGAACGUAGCGAAAUGCGAUACUUGGUGUGAAUUGCAGAAUCCCGUGAACCAUCGAAUCUUUGAACGCAAGUUGCGCCCGACGCCUUCGGGCUGAGGGCACGCCUGCCUGGGCGUC